UUACAUGUAGCAUUCAGUAAUACUUGGAUUAGAGUGGAAUUGUGAAAGGAAGGGUAUUUCAAUUAUAAGUAAAAACAGUUCUUGAAGUAUACAUUUUAUUUUAUUCAGAUUCAUAAUUUGAACAUAGAACAUACAUAUUCCACUCCUUCGAGGCCAAGAAGACCGGGUUCACGAAGGUGUGGGCAGUAUGUGCAUACGCCAAAUUGUAGCCCAAUUCAUUCUUAUGAAAAGGGUCUUUCGUUUAUAACGCUGCAAUUCGUAAUAUUUUAAAAUAAAAUAUCUCUUAAACCCUUGUAUUUUACAGGUCUGCCCCCUUAAUUGAUACUGCGUGUAUUUUUUAUGCAGUGACUAUUUUUCCGAACCCUUCAAUUCACAGGUCUGCCUCUUUAAGAACAUGAUCUUGAAAGUAGAACAACAAUAUCAAGAGCUUCUUGAUCUUAGGAUAAUUUGCCUCUUAUCUUCAGAUAACGUGCCUCGAAAACAGAAACAAAACUGUGCAGUGUGAAGUGCACGGACAAGUUGCAAUAUGAUCUUAACUCAUGCACAUUCUGGCCUGAAAGUUCGAAACCCUUUUGUACUUGAGUAAAGGCUUGUUUGCGUUAAUUCAGGAACCUUUUUUUUUUUUCUAGGUGAGGGCUUUAUCAAAUUCUGUGGCUGUUUGUUCUAAAGAUUGAAUCUUUUUGUAGGUUAAAGAGUUGAAACAAUGGCAUCUUACCGUGUGCAGACCAUAUGUGAGUUGUCCGUGGGUCUGAACAGAUUCACUACGGAAUUCUAUAAUCUGUCCGUAUUCUAGUACGGUUGACUACAGAAGUUCCGGGUACUUACUUGACCGCACAUUUCCCAUGUCUUGAGUUUUCUACGUACUGCAACGUUUGAUUUUGUAAUAUUUUUGAAAUACAAUCUGACUCAAUGAGACUUUAUUACUGAUAAAAAUUUCUGACACAAUCGUUGUGUGCCACGUCUCUGGCAUUUGCUUUUUAAAGAAGCGAUAAACGCUGUAGUGAAGAAAACUUAGUGCAGAUGUCCACCCAAAAGUUCUUACAUCAUUUUACAUCAUUGAGGGCAGGGUGCCUUGCAACACGACUUCAAUAUUGGAGGUACUCUUUCGCGCGGGCCUCAACGGCAGGGUCGUGGGCUUCUGAGCUGAAACACUGUAGACCUUGCGUUGCCUGGUCUUCGUCAGCGCGGAUUCUCACCAGGCACUCAGACAGAUUCGUGGCAACGGCGUCAAUUUCAGCUCCGCGAGCAAAGUUAGAGUAUGCCAGGUUUGUGCAGAUACUAUUGGGGUUAACUUCUCCGUCGACACAGUCCUGGAGGACGAACUGGUGCCACACAGCAUCCACCAGGGUGUAGUAUUUAUUACCCUCCUGCAAGAAAGAAACAUGAUAACAGCGCCUGCUAGCUUUUUAACUCCCAGUCCUGACCGUAAGUUGACUACUUGGCAUGGUGAUUUAUUGCCACAAAAGAUGCUGUUAAGCAGGGUGGACCUUUUUUUUUUUUUUUCAAAGGGACAAUGGAUACUGCGCGAGGUUUGAAGCCGCGCAAGGUAAAUUAAGUCGUUUGUAGCUGCGGGUGGUUUGUAACUGCGCAAAGUUUGCAGCUGCGCGAAUUUGUAACUAUGCGCGAGAUUUGCCACUCACUGUGCGACUAGAGUUGAGCGAACAGCCCGGUUCGAAUUUGAACGAACUCGAACAAAUUUGGUCUAAAAAUCUUCGAACGAACACGAACAACCAUUUUUUCUUCGAACGAACCCAACUGAACAGUUUAAUGUUAAAAUUCGAUCAGAACACGAACAAUUGUAGAAAUUUGUUUUUUGCUAAUAACACCUCAAAAGCUCUCCGUGGUGGAUAACAACAGUUCCGUUAACGUUUCAAAUUGUAGUUAUAUGUUAACCUGCCAUUGCCCCCUUAACUAUACCCAAAUAUGACACGUCCUCCUGAAACACACUUCAAAUUUGUUCGCCUACGAACUUCUGUUCGAGUACACUGGAAAAACUAAUGUUACCAAGGUAACGUUCCAUCAUGUGACCAAGCCCGGUAACGUUUCCUGAUGCAACCUACCCCAUGCAAAAGGAUAGGGCUAUCAUAAACUGGUUGCAUCACCAAACGUUACCUGGCUUGGUCACGUCAAGAAACGUUACCUCGGUAACAUUAGUUUUUCCACUGUAGUACUCGAACAUUUCGAAUCCAAACACCUAAUGUUCGUGUUCGAGCGGACACGAACAGCUCGAUGUUCGUUCGAAUUCGUUCGAAUGCGAACAUGUUCGCUCAUCUCUUGUUGACCGCGCCACCCUCCCCUGCGGGGAAUGACGAAGCUAUUGCUGACGUGAGUUCAUGUGAUGUCGUUGUGUCGUUAUACUUGUGUGAAUGGUUUUUAUAUUGAUGCGUUUUGUUACAGUAGUUUAUCAUGAAUGAAAGAUCGGCUGCCCCACCAAGCGAGCCCCUUAACCUGAUAGUGCCGUGGGCAGAGCGGAGGUUCGACGAGUGCCGUGGGCAGAUCGGAGGUUCGACGAGGACGACGAGUGGGAGCCAGCUGUUGAGGAAGCACUCGACCUCGCUCCCACCCCCGCCCAGGCCCUUGUCCUCGCGCCCGCCCCAACUUAGGACCAACCGCAGCCGGAGCCGUCCACACCACCUGUGGACUUGCGCCAGAGACUGGAGGAGCUACGUCGAGGUGCGGGGCUCGGCCGACCAGCGGUGCGUCAGCACGAGGUAGAGCAGGAGCAGCUACCACCGGCAGGCCACGGCGCCCCACCCCACAGCCUGGGCAGCUGGAGGGUUGGCGCCAGCAGGCGCCUGCCUCAGGCCGUACAACCAUAGUUAUUGAACCAACUAUAACUAAGCAGAUGAGAAAGAGGAAGUAGCUCCCCCCCUCUUCCUAUUUAACUUUCAUUUUAUAAAUAUUUUUUAAAUAAAAUCAUGUUCAUCA